rnacentral:rRNA from 1 species
AGGGAAUCUUCGGCAAUGGGGGCAACCCUGACCGAGCAACGCCGCGUGAGUGAAGAAGGUUUUCGGAUCGUAAAGCUCUGUUGUAAGUCAAGAACGGGUGUGAGAGUGGAAAGUUCACACUGUGACGGUAGCUUACCAGAAAGGGACGGCUAACUACGUGCCAGCAGCCGCGGUAAUACGUAGGUCCCGAGCGUUGUCCGGAUUUAUUGGGCGUAAAGCGAGCGCAGGCGGUUUGAUAAGUCUGAAGUUAAAGGCUGUGGCUCAACCAUAGUUCGCUUUGGAAACUGUCAAACUUGAGUGCAGAAGGGGAGGGUGGAAUUCCAUGUGUAGCGGUGAAAUGCGUAGAUAUAUGGAGGAACACCGGUGGCGAAAGCGGCUCUCUGGUCUGUAACUGACGCUGAGGCUCGAAAGCGUGGGGAGCGAACAGGAUUGGAUACCCUGGUAGUCCACGCCGUAAACGAUGAGUGCUAGGUGUUGGAUCCUUCCGGGAUUCAGUGCCGCAGCUAACGCAUUAAGCACUCCGCCUGGGGAGUACGACCGCAAGGUUGAAAC